CAGCCGCCACGGUAAUACGAAGGGUGCAAGCGUUAAUCGGAAUUACUGGGCGUAAAGCGUGCGUAGGCGGUGAGUUAAGUCUGCUGUGAAAUCCCCGGGCUCAACCUGGGAAUGGCAGUGGAUACUGGCUCGCUAGAGUGUGUCAGAGGAUGGUGGAAUUCCCGGUGUAGCGGUGAAAUGCGUAGAGAUCGGGAGGAACAUCAGUGGCGAAGGCGGCCAUCUGGGACAACACUGACGCUGAGGCACGAGAGCGUGGGGAGCAAACAGGAUUAGAUACCCGCGUAGUCCCUGUCUCUUAUAC
rnacentral:rRNA from 1 species